GGAGUCGCCGUUGAAAUACCACCCUUGUUCUGUUGAGAUUCUAACCCGGGUCCGUGAAUCCGGAUCGGGAACAGUGUCUGGUGGGUAGUUUGACUGGGGCGGUCGCCUCCUAAAAGGUAACGGAGGCGCCCAAAGGUUUCCUCAGCGCGAUUGGUAACCGCGCGUAGAGUGUAAAGGCAUAAGGAAGCUUGACUGCGAGACCGACGGGUCGAGCAGGUGGGAAACCAGGGCUUAGUGACCCCGCGGUAGGAAGUGGGACUGCCGUGGCUCAACGGAUAAAAGGUACUCCGGGGAUAACAGGCUUAUCGGGCCCAAUAGUUCACAUAGACGGCCCGGUUUGGCACCUCGAUGUCGGCUCAUCGCAUCCUGGGGCUGGAGAAGGUCCCAAGGGUUGGGCUGUUCGCCCAUUAAAGCGGUACGCGAGCUGGGUUUAGAACGUCGUGAGACAGUUCGGUCUCUAUCCGUCGCGGGCGUAGGAUACUUGAGGGGAGCUGUUCUUAGUACGAGAGGACCGGAAUGGACGAACCACUAGUGUACCAGUUGUCCCGCCAGGGGCAUUGCUGGGUAGCUAUGUUCGGAAGGGAUAACCGCUGAAAGCAUCUAAGUGGGAAGCCCCCCCCAAGAUGAGGUAUCCCGUGGCACAAGCCACCUGAAGGCUCCUGGAAGAUUACCAGGUAGAUAGGUCGCAGGUGUAAGCACAGCAAUGUGUUCAGCCGAGCGAUACUAAUCAGCCGUGCGGCUUGACCAAAUUUC
rnacentral:rRNA from 1 species